rnacentral:piRNA from 1 species
GGCACAGAUGCCAGUCUUGAAGGUAGA